UGGGAAGUAUUGCACAAUGGGCGCAAGCCUGAUGCAGCCAUGCCGCGUGUAUGAAGAAGGCCUUCGGGUUGUAAAGUACUUUCAGCGGGAGGAAGGCGAUAAGGUUAAUAACCUUGUCGAUUGACGUUACCCGCAGAAGAAGCACCGGCUAACUCCGUGCCAGCAGCCGCGGUAAUACGGAGGGUGCAAGCGUUAAUCGGAAUUACUGGGCGUAAAGCGCACGCAGGCGGUCUGUCAAGUCGGAUGUGAAAUCCCCGGGCUCAACCUGGGAACUGCAUUCGAAACUGGCAGGCUGGAGUCUUGUAGA
rnacentral:rRNA from 1 species